rnacentral:rRNA from 1 species
UUGAACGCUGGCGGCAUGCUUUACACAUGCAAGUCGAACGGUAGACCCUUUCGGGGGUUGAGAGUGGCGCACGGGUGCGUAACACGUGGGAAUAUGCCUUUUGGUACGGAACAACGUCUGGAAACGGACGCUAAUACCGUAUGGUCCCUUCGGGGUAAAGAUUUAUCGCCAAAAGAGUAGCCCGCGCUAGAUUAGCUAGUAGGUGAGGUAAUGGCUCACCAAGGCGACGAUCCAUAGCUGGUCUGAGAGGACGAUCAGCCACACUGGGACUGAGACACGGCCCAGACUCCUACGGGAGGCAGCAGUUAGGAAUAUUGGACAAUGGGGGCAACCCUGAUCCAGCCAUGCCGCGUGAGUGAUGAAGGCCUUCGGGUUGUAAAGCUCUUUAGCCGAUGAUUAUAAUGACUGUAGUCGGAAAAUAAGCCCCGGCUAACUUCGU